rnacentral:misc_RNA from 1 species
GAUGAAGAACGUAUCGAAAUGCGAUACGUAAUGUGAAUUGCAGAAUUCAGUGAAUCAUCGAAUCUUUGAACGCAUAUUGCGCUCUCUGGUAUUCCGGAGAGCAUGCUUGUUUGAGUAUCAGUAAACACCUCAACUUCCAUAUCUUUUUUGAAAUGGGAGUUGGACUUGAGUGAUCCCAACGCUUUUCCUCACCGAAAAGCGGCGGGUUACUUGAAAUGCAGGUGCAGCUGGACUUUUCUCUGAGCUAUAAGCAUAUCUAUUUAGUCUGCCUAAAAAACAGAUUAUUACCUUUGCUGCAGCUAACAUAAAGGAGAUUAGUUCUUGUGCUGACUGAUGCAGGAUUCACAAAGACAGGCUUCGGCCGACUUUGUAAACUCGAUCUCAAAUCAAGUAAGACUACCCGCUGAACUUAAGCAUAUCAAUAAGCGGAGGA